UUCCCCACUGACUACACAAAGAGACUAAUCAACUGAUCUUCCAGCUCAGCAAAUGAAGUAGGCACUUAGAGGUUGAUGUACCCACAGCAAAACAUAAGCUGAUGGUUUGAUAUUUCCCAAUUCUGGGUGAUGCUGUUUUGAUGCACUGGCAGCAGUUCAUCCCAAGAUGGACCAAAAGCGACCAGAGGUAACAUGGAUGAAGCAGGGAGGCAUGGGACAGCUGUCUACCUGUAAGUAGUGAGACUGGAUAAUGCCCUAACAUGCUACUUGAAAGUAGCUGGCCAGGUAAACGAACGUCAGGGUCAUAGAGAGAAUUCAGAAAGAAAAAAGGAGAAAGAAGAAAAUGCAAGGCUGUGGAAACAGAGAAUUGUCGUAACAAUUACAGUUGUAACUCCAUGUGAAGAUUCAGAUUAAAAAUGUGCUGG
rnacentral:lncRNA from 1 species